GACAGAGGGUGCAAACGUUGUUCGGAUUUACUGGGCGUAAAGCGCGUGUAGGCGGCUUUGCAAGUCGGAUGUGAAAUCCCACGGCUCAACCGUGGAAGUGCAUCCGAAACUGCAUCGCUUGAGUCUCGGAGAGGAAGGUGGAAUGCUUGGUGUAGAGGUGAAAUUCGUAGAUAUCAAGCAGAACACCUGCGGCGAAGGCGGCCUUCUGGACGAUGACUGACGCUGAGACGCGAAAGCGUGGGGAGCGAACAGG
rnacentral:rRNA from 1 species